UCAUGCCAUGCUUAAAUUAAAUUAAAUAAUUUUCACACGCUACGGGAUGGAAUACUCCAGUAGAACCCUAAUCCCAACACAAACAUCUCGAUCAAUCUCCAUACUGACAUCUCGACUAAUCUCAACUCUAACAUCCUGACUAAUCUCAUUCCAAUAGGACUGGCGCCCAGAGAGCAAAGCUCGACCAGGGUCCUUAACUCCAGUCUGGUCACUUAAUGUUCAUUAUCAGCCUUAGCCUUUCGGCUCUCUUAUUCCAAUAAGACUAGCGCCCAGAGAGCAAAGCUCGACCAUAGGCCUUACCUCCAGUCUGGUCACUUAGAUUUCCAAAUAAGCCGGCGCCCAGAGAGCAAUGCUUGACCAUGGACCUUACCUCCAGUAUGGUCACUUAGAUUUCCAAAUAAGCCGGCACCAAGAGAGCAACGCUCGACCAGGGACCUUUACUCCGGC
rnacentral:lncRNA from 1 species